rnacentral:rRNA from 1 species
GAUGAACGCUGGCGGCGUGCCUAAUACAUGCAAGUCGGGCGAACGGACGAGAAGCUUGCUUCUCUGAUGUUAGCGGCGGACGGGUGAGUAACACGUGGAUAACCUACCUAUAAGACUGGGAUAACUUCGGGAAACCGGAGCUAAUACCGGAUAAUAUUUUGAACCGCAUGGUUCAAAAGUGAAAGACGGUCUUGCUGUCACUUAUAGCUGGAUCCGCGCUGCAUUAGCUAGUUGGUAAGGUAACGGCUUACCAAGGCAACGAGGCAUAGCCGACCUGAGAGGGUGAUCGGCCACACUGGAACUGAGACAGGGUCCAGACGCCUACGGGAGGCAGCAGUAGGGAAUCGUCCGCAAUGGGGGAAAGCCUGACGGAGCAACGCCGCGUGAGUGAUGAAGGUCUUCGGAUCGUAAAACUCUGUUAUUAGGGAAGAACAUAUGUGUAAGUAACUGUGCACAUCUUGACGGUACCUAAUCAGAAAGCCACGGCUAACUACGUG